UCUGAUGUCAUAUGCUGUUGACCCUUUCCUCUCAAUUCUCAGUUCUAGAAUGUUCCUCCCUUGUUCUAAGAAGUGGAGGGGGAAACAUGUCUCCCAUUGUCUCCUGAUGCUACACUCCUGGCCUUAGGGUAAGGGAUUGAGUAAAGAACCUUAACUCCCCAGACUUAAAUAAGCAUUCCACCUAAACUAUAGCAUGCGUUCAUCCUGGGUGAGAAGCAGGCCUCUCACUUUACAGAUGAAGAGACCAAGGCCAGAGUGGAAGACACACUCAGAUGAUGACGUACCACAUCAGGGGCAGAGCCAAGACCUCAAUCAAGGACUUCUUCCUUGGCCAGAAGGUCUGAAAACCAAGGCAACCUCUAAGUACAGGUGAGAAAAGAGCCCCCUGGGCAGGGUCCAGGGCUGUCAUUCUCUCUCCAUCCUGGAGACCAAUAGUGAGAGGCCAACCAGUGCCAUCCGUUCAUGCAAUAGAGUGAGUGGAACAAGACAAAACCGGAAAGAGUGUCUGCAGCCGCGGUGUCCGAUCUCAUGCCAUUGCACCUGCAGUGACUCAGAUCAGGACCUUGCUGCUCCCAGGGCAGUGAAACUGUCCUCCUCAAGGUUGCCCAUGACCUCCACGUUGCUGAGCCCAAAGGUCAAUUCGCAGUCCUCAUCACACUUGCUCUGUCAGCAGUGUUGACAGCAUCGAUGCCCCCUCCUGCUUUCUCUGGGAUUCCAGACUCUGUUCUCUCUUGCUUGUCUUCCACCCACCCCAACUCAGCCUCCAUGUUGGACUCUCACCCUCUUCUCAAUUCCCAGAUGUCAGAGGGCUCAGAGCUCAGUCCUUGAAUUUCUUCUCUUCCCUCUACACUUAUCCCCAAGUGUCUCACCCAAGUCCACAACCUUAAAUAGCAUCCAUACACUGACUACUCCCAAUUUUAUGUCUUUGUUCUAGCUCUCUCCCCUGGAUUCAGACGUGUAUACCUAACUACCUAGCUGACAUAUUCACCUGGAUGUCCAACAGACACCUGGAUCUCUGGUCUCUCCUGCCCAAAGCAGACAUUCCCCACCCUUCUCCAAGCCUGUUUCUCUUAAUCUUCCCUGGUACCUCAACACCCCCUGUAGGUCCCUUUGGUCUUGCUAACACCACCAACAGUUGCUUCAUUAAAUGCUCAUUCUAAAUCCUGCAGGAGCCCCGAAUGCUCCAUCUGGGAUGACACUCUUGGAGGAGCAAGUCCUCCCCUGCUGCCUUCAUUCAGGUCAUGAGCCAUGUCCUAACCCAGCUUAGCUGAGGGUCACUCAAACACAUUGUAGCAUUUCUUGCCUUCACUGCAGGCAGGUAAAGCCCAGACCACCCUUACCCUGUGAUCUCCUCACUCUUGGAAAUGUAGUCAAAGUAGUAAGGCUCCCUCAGGGAACUCUUCCCUGACCAGCAUUCUCACCCCAAGUUGAAUGUGCACCCUAUCCUUGUGGUCCCCAACACUUCACUUGUGGCUAUUUUGCAAAUGGCCCUACAGGUGAUCUUUGUAGACAGGUGAAGCUCCAUAACAGAGUCAGGGAAGCCCUCUGCACUCCUCCUCUGCCCUAGCACACCUAUUAGUGCCUGCAGGAGGGCCUGCAGG